CCUACGGGAGGCAGCAGUGGGGAAUAUUGCGCAAUGGGGGAAACCCUGACGCAGCAACGCCGCGUGCGGGAUGACGGCCUUCGGGUUGUAAAACGCUUUCAGCAGGGAAGAACAUCGACGGUACCUGCAGAAGAAGCUCCGGCUAACUACGUGCCAGCAGCCGCGGUAAUACGUAGGGGGCGAGCGUUAUCCGGAUUCAUUGGGCGUAAAGCGCACGUAGGCGGUGGCCUAAGCGGGAGCUCUAACCUCGGGGCUCAACCGCGAGGCGGGUCGCGAACUGGGCGUCUCGAGUGCGGUAGGGGAGAUCGGAAGUCCCGGUGUAGCGGUGGAAUGCGCAGAUAUCGGGAAGAACACCGAUGGCGAAGGAAGAUCUCUGGGCCGCCACUGACGCUGAGGCGCGAAAGCUAGGGUAGCGAACAGGAUUAGAUACCCGGGUAGUC
rnacentral:rRNA from 1 species